UACGAAGGGGGCUAGCGUUGCUCGGAAUCACUGGGCGUAAAGCGCACGUAGGCGGAUUGCUAAGUCAGGGUGAAAUCCUGGAGCUCAACGUCCAGAACUGCCUUUGAUACUGGCGAUCUCGAGUCCGGGAGAGGUGAGUGGAACUGCGAAGUGUAGAGGUGAAAUUCGUAGAUAUUCGCAAGAACACCAGUGGCGAAGGCGGCUCACUGGCCCGGUACUGACGCUGAGGUGCGAAAGCGUGGGA
rnacentral:rRNA from 1 species